UUCUUGAAGUAAAGUGGGAAACUUUGAGUUAUCUUCUUCCCCAUAGCGACUGAUAAAAGAAGGAACGAUACCACCAUGAUUUGUUCAUCCGGUCCGAGCACAAGCAACCGAAACCAAGUUCGGUCCAAGAUUGUUGAUACAAAAACCACGUUCGGUCCGAAAUCCAACUUCAUGACAAGCGAAACGUUAUCCAAACCGAAUAACAGGUUCAUUCCAGGUCAAUUGAUACAAAAGCGAAACCGAGCAUCAUGAUGCGAACAAGGAGUGAAACCUUAGCCAAGCAGAACCACAUGUUCGCUUUCCCCUCUUUCGUUCCAAGGCAACAGAAGAACCCAAUCAUAGAUUCGCUUCAAUUUCGUGGAAGACACAGUGAGAUUCAAAGAAAGUUCAACCCAAUUCUCAGUCAAUUUUGACUUUUCAGUUUAACUUUCGUUCAUCCCAAACUGGUUGGUCGUUCACAGGUAGGAUGUUCGUCCAAAAUCUCAGUCAAUUCAAACCCUUCGUUCGUACACAAAUAGCUUAAUUUUGACUUUCGUUUGACUGUAGUUUUUCCCGAUUGAGUCCCGAUUUCAUUCAUAGGUUGUUGAGACGAAUCCGAACACAGGUUCGCUGCGAGUCAUGGAAAACAAAUGUUCGCAGGUAAGCUCACAAUUUUCACCAUGAAAUCUGAUUCCGAUGGCAGAUGAACGAUGCGCUUCAGAUACAUGUACUUCAAAUUCGAUUACAUCAUUCCCAGAUCAAUAAUUCCAAUUUUGACCUUUUUCUUAA